GAUGAAGAACGUAGCGAAAUGCGAUAAGUAAUGUGAAUUGCAGAAUUCAGUGAAUCAUCGAAUCUUUGAACGCACAUUGCGCCCGCCAGUAUUCUGGCGGGCAUGCCUGUUCGAGCGUCAUUUCAACCAUCAAGCCCCAGGCUUGUGUUGGAGCCCUGCGGCUGCCGCAGCCUCCCAAAACCAGUGGCGGGCUCGCUAUCACACCGAGUGCAGUAGUUUACUCUUCGCUCAGGGCGUGUGGCGGGUGCUAGCCGUAAAACCCCCAACUUCUCAAGGUUGACCUCGGAUCAGGUAGGAAUACCCGCUGAACUUAAGCAUAUCAAUACGCGGACGA
rnacentral:misc_RNA from 1 species